ACGAACGCUGGCGGCGUGCUUCACACAUGCAAGUCGAACGGUGAAGCUCCAGCUUGCUGGAGUGGAUCAGUGGCGAACGGGUGAGUAACACGUGAGCAACCUGCCCCUGACUCUGGAAUAAGCGCUGGAAACGGCGUCUAAUACUGGAUACGAGAAGGGUCCGCAUGGGCACUUUCUGGAAAGUUUUUCGGUUGGGGAUGGGCUCGCGGCCUAUCAGCUUGUUGGUGAGGUGAUGGCUCACCAAGGCGACGACGGGUAGCCGGCCUGAGAGGGCGACCGGCCACACUGGGACUGAGACACGGCCCAGACUCCUACGGGAGGCAGCAGUGGGGAAUAUUGCACAAUGGGCGAAAGCCUGAUGCAGCGACGCCGCGUGAGGGAUGAAGGCCUUCGGGUUGUAAACCUCUUUCAGCAGGGAAGAAGCGAAAGUGACGGUACCUGCAGAAGAAGCACCGGCUAACUACGUG
rnacentral:rRNA from 1 species